CAUGCUGCGGUGGGGUCCCUCAGCCUGGCCUGUGCCCUUUCGCAAUCCAGGACCCCUCAGGGGAUGUCAGAGAGCCAGUUUUGGCCCGAUCCCACAGGCCAGGCCGAGGGACCCCACUGGUGCAUG
rnacentral:pre_miRNA from 1 species